UUUCCGUAGGUGAACCUGCGGAAGGAUCAUUAACACGUUUCGUUCCGAACGUUUAUUUUCCACCCCACUCUCCGUGAUAAAACCGGCCUCCCGACCAAUUCAAGCGCCUGCCGCUUGUUAUUGUGCCGGGCGUCUUUGGGGUUCAUAGGAUGUCAGUUGUACGAAAGAAGUGUGAGCGCUUUGUGGCGUUCCGUUUCGGAGUAGUAUAACCGAGUACCUCCCAAGGGCGUUGCCAACCAACCAAACCCUUAAAUCUAAUUUUUCUGAUCUUAAGAUUUCGGUUCAUUCUGAAAUUGAAACAAAACAAAAAACAACUCUUAACAAUGGAUAUCUUGGUUCUC
rnacentral:misc_RNA from 1 species